AAAUUGUCGUUCUCUCUCCCUCUCUCUAUUACCACCGACGAUCUUGUCUCUUUAUUCAUCAAUUUGUAAUAAGUAAAAAAAUUAAACAUAUUCCGACCACCGACAAUCUUGUCUCUUUAUUCUCAGAUCUCGUUUCAGUGAAGCUGAUUUUAAUCGACAAAACCAAAGUGUUAAUCUUUCCUCCAUUGAAAACGAAGAUGUACUCACUCAACUCGUAUUUGUGUAUAUAUCAUCACCAAGCGAUUUAACUCCUACAUCUGAAAAGCCUCUAUUCUGACAUAUUGUGGUAGCAGACAUGAGUGGCUCUAUUCGAUUGAAACCAGAGAAGUUGAAAUCUACUUGGCUCCUGUCAAGAUCCGAGUAUUUUCUCAGGUUCUGACAGUAAUCAGCUAGAAUCCAUUCUUAUCUGGAGACCAGAUGCUACAAAUCUACAGGAUCUGAACUUAAUGACAAAAAGGAGCAACUGAAGAGAAAUAAAAAGAUCUGCAUUAGAAAGAUAAGUAAUAUAAAUGAUAGUACUGAAUACAGUUCAGAAACAACUUUGACAAGUUCUUAUUGAAUGAUUUUUUUUGUUCUGUAGGCACUUGUUAUUAUAUGAUAAGAAGAAAGAUGAAAAACAGAAACCAAACAAAGGAUAACAGACCCACUUCGAAGUACAAUCAGAAAUAACAUUAACCAUUGGAAUAACAUGCAUAGUGUUCAUCAACGAAGUCAAGGAAAAAAAAGAAGCACCUCUUCUAAAGAACCGUUGAGCAAGUGGGAAGCAGAUUCAGGAGCAACUCUGCUUGCAAUCCAAUCAAGUAGCAUUAGGUCUGAAGGAAACACUAGGGUUAGUGAUGAAGAAAUUUUCGAUGUUUCUCCACAUUCCAACAGAAAGCACAUUUGGAUGUUUCCUUGUCAACUUAUCAAGGUAUGGAGAACCUUAACUUGUACACAAAAAUCUGUCAUGAAUGGUUUGAGGUUGGCCAAACCAGUGAAUUCCAUGAUCAGAGGUAUUUGUGUAGCGAUAAAUUUUGUGACUUUUGAUUUUAGGAAGUGUGAUAAGAAUAUCGGCUGUAGAAAAGAUUUAUAUAACCACAGGCUGUUGAUGGAAACGACAUAAUUUAGUUAAGAUAAAAUCAAAAAAAAAAAUUGUAACCAUAUAGGAGUUGUGCAUAUAUUUCGGGAUAGUGGGUUAUGAAAAAUCGAAAUGCAAAUCAGAAUAGAUUAUUUGAUUACUCAAAUUUGAAAUAAAAAUUAGUAGCAUAGAUUUGGUGUUGUGGA